rnacentral:rRNA from 1 species
AGUGGGUGUAACGUACCUACUAGCCUACGACGGGUACGGGUUGUGAGAGCAAGAGCCCGGAGAUGGAUUCUGAGACACGAAUCCAGGCCCUACGGGGUGCAGCAGGCGCGAAAACUUUACAAUGCGGGAAACCGUGAUAAGGGAAUCUCGAGUGCCAGCAUAUAAUGUUGGCUGUCCAGAUGCCUAAAAAGCAUCUGUUAGCAAGGGCCGGGCAAGACCGGUGCCAGCCGCCGCGGUAACACCGGCGGCCCGAGUGGUAACCGUUUUUAUUGGGUCUAAAGGGUCUGUAGCCGGCCAUGUAAGUCCCUUGGGAAAUCUGGCAGCUCAACUGUCAGGCUGCUAGGGGAUACUGCUUGGCUUGGGACCGGGAGAGGUGAGAGGUACCUUGAGGGUAGGGGUGAAAUCUUGUGAUCCUCGGGGGACCACCAGUGGCGAAGGCGUCUCACCAGAACGGGUCCGACGGUAAGGGACGAAAGCUAGGGGCACGAACCGGAUUAGAU